rnacentral:rRNA from 1 species
CCUACGGGAGGCAGCAGUGAGGAAUAUUGGUCAAUGGACGAGAGUCUGAACCAGCCAAGUCGCGUGAAGGAUGACUGCCCUAUGGGUUGUAAACUUCUUUUAUAUGGGAAUAAAACGUUCCACGUGUGGGAUUUUGUAUGUACCAUAUGAAUAAGGAUCGGCUAACUCCGUGCCAGCAGCCGCGGUAAUACGGAGGAUCCGAGCGUUAUCCGGAUUUAUUGGGUUUAAAGGGAGCGUAGGUGGAUUGUUAAGUCAGUUGUGAAAGUUUGCGGCUCAACCGUAAAAUUGCCGUUGAAACUGGCAGUCUUGAGUACAGUAGAGGUGGGCGGAAUGCGUGGUGUAGCGGUGAAAUGCUUAGAUAUCACGAAGAACUCCGAUUGCGAAGGCAGUUCACUGGACUGCAACUGACACUGAGGCUCGAAAGUGUGGGUAUCAAACAGGAUUAGAUACCCUAGUAGUC